rnacentral:rRNA from 1 species
GGUGAACGCUGGCGGUGUGCCUAAUACAUGCAAGUCGAGCGAACAGACGGUAAGCUUUCUCCCCUGCCGUUAGCGGCUGACGGGCGAGUAACACGUACAUAACCUACUUAUUUUACUGGGAUAACUACGGGAAACCGGUGCUACUACUGCCUAAUAUAUCCAACCGCUUGGUUCAGUAGUUAAAGACGCCUUUGCUGUUUCAUAUAGAUGGAUCCGCGCCGCAUUAGCUAGUUGGUAAGGUAACGGCUUACCAAGGCAACGAUGCGUAGCUGACCUGAGAGGAUGAUCAGCCACACUGGAACUGAGACACGGUCCAGACUCCUACGGGAGGCAGCAGUAGGGAAUAUUGGGCAAUGGGCGAAAGCCUGACGGAGCAACACCGCGUGAGUGAUGAAGGUCUUCGGGUCGUAAAGCCCUGUUGUUGGGAAAGAACAGAUGUGGGUGUAUCUAUGCCCGUCUUGACGGUACCCAAAGAGAAAGCCACGGCUAACUUCGUG